UACGUGAGGGGCGAACGUUGUUCGGUGUCACUGGGCUUAAAGGGUGCGUAGGUGGUUCUGUAAGUAAGGUGUGAAAUCCCUCGGCUUACCCGGGGAAUUGCAUUUUAUACUGCAGGACUUGAGGGCUAAAGUGGGAAAAGGGAACUCCAGGUGUAGCGGUGAAAUGCGCAGAUAUCUGGGGGAAGGCCGGCGGCGAAAGGCGCUUUUGCUGGUUAGUACCUGACACUGAGGCACGAAAGCGUGGGGAGCAAACAGG
rnacentral:rRNA from 1 species